rnacentral:rRNA from 1 species
UACGUAGGCAGCGAGCGUUGUUCGGAGUUACUGGGCGUAAAGGGUGUGUAGGCGGUUGUUUAAGUUUGGUGUGAAAUCUCCCGGCUCAACCGGGAGGGUGCGCCGAAUACUGAAUGACUUGGAGUGCGGGAGAGGAAAGUGGAAUUCCUGGUGUAGCGGCGAAAUGCGUAGAUAUCUGGAGGAACACCGGUGGCGAAGGCGGCAUCCUGGACCGACACUGACGCUGAGGAGCGAAAGCCAGGGGAGCAAACGGG